GCAGGGCGUUGUGGCAGUUGUAUGCAAAAAUUGGUGCGUGCGCAUGGCUAGGCUCACACAUCGAGCAAGCUGCUCAAAAAGUAUUUAGGCGGCGGUCUGUACAACAUGGUACGCUCCAGCGGCACAUGUGACGAGGCACGUAGGCACGUUGUUUUUGAUUUCUGGUUUAUGUACAAAUUGUAGGAUGGCGCGUCAAUUCAAGGAAGAAAAAUGUUAUCGCAUCUAAUGCGAACACCUCCGCAAAGUAGCAUUGAGCUUUACGUGUUGAAGUUGGAUGCAGAAGAGGGAAACAAAUAAGUGAAAGAAGAAACGAGAGGAAAUGAGAAAACAUCAAAGUUUUCUUGCCUAUUUAGAUGUGGUACUUUUAGAUCAGAAAAUAUGUAACAAGAGGGAGUCCGUUUGAUUUUUCAACACUUUUAGAACGGGCACUAUUUGGUAAUUUUAUCAGUUUUGUGGCAAAAAGUCGUACUUACAAAAAUA